UACGGAGGGUGCAAGCGUUGUCCGGAUUUAUUGGGUUUAAAGGGUGCGUAGGUGGUCUAUUAAGUCAGUGCUGAAAUAUCCCGGCUUAACCGGGAGGGUGGCAUUGAUACUGAUGGACUUGAGUGGAGUCGAGGUAGGCGGAAUUGACGGUGUAGCGGUGAAAUGCUUAGAUAUCGUCAAGAACACCGAUAGUGUAGACAGCUUACUAGGCUCUAACUGACGCUGAGGAGCGAAAGCGUGGGGAGCAAACAGG
rnacentral:rRNA from 1 species